GAUGAACGCUGGCGGCGUGCCUAAUACAUGCAAGUCGAGCGAACAGACGAGGAGCUUGCUCCUCUGAUGUUAGCGGCGGACGGGUGAGUAACACGUGGAUAACCUACCUAUAAGACUGGGAUAACUUCGGGAAACCGGAGCUAAUACCGGAUAACAUGUUGAACCGCAUGGUUCAACAGUGAAAGACGGUCUUGCUGUCACUUAUAGAUGGAUCCGCGCCGCAUUAGCUGGUUGGUAAGGUAACGGCUUACCAAGGCAACGAUGCGUAGCCGACCUGAGAGGGUGAUCGGCCACACUGGAACUGAGACACGGUCCAGACUCCUACGGGAGGCAGCAGUAGGGAAUCUUCCGCAAUGGGCGAAAGCCUGACGGAGCAACGCCGCGUGAGUGAAGAAGGUCUUCGGAUCGUAAAACUCUGUUAUUAGGGAAGAACAAAUGUGUAAGUAACUAUGCACGUCUUGACGGUACCUAAUCAGAAAGCAACGGCUAACUACGUG
rnacentral:rRNA from 1 species